UCCUACGGGGGGCAGCAGUAGGGAAUCUUCCACAAUGGACGAAAGUCUGAUGGAGCAACGCCGCGUGAGUGAAGAAGGGUUUCGGCUCGUAAAGCUCUGUUGGUAGUGAAGAAAGAUAGAGGUAGUAACUGGCCUUUAUUUGACGGUAAUUACUUAGAAAGUCACGGCUAACUACGUGCCAGCAGCCGCGGUAAUACGUAGGUGGCAAGCGUUGUCCGGAAUAACUGGGCGUAAAGGAUGCGUAGGCGGUUAAACAAGUUAUAUGUUAAAUAU
rnacentral:rRNA from 1 species